rnacentral:tRNA from 1 species
GGCUUUAUAGUCAAUACAAAUGAUGAUAUUAGACUGCAAUUCUAAAGUAGACUCUUAUAGUCUAAAGCUU